UACGUAUGGUGCAAGCGUUAUCCGGAUUUACUGGGUGUAAAGGGAGCGCAGGCGGCGCGUUAAGCCUGGUGUGAAAGCCCGCGGCCCAACCGCGGGACUGCAUUGGGAACUGGCGCGCUGGAGUGCCGGAGGGGUAGGCGGAAUUCCUAGUGCAGCGGUGAAAUGCGUAGAUAUUAGGAGGAACACCAGUGGCGAAGGCGGCCUACUGGACGGUGACUGACGCUGAGGCUCGAAAGCGUGGGGAGCAAACAGG
rnacentral:rRNA from 1 species